UUAAAAGCAAUGAAGAAGAAAUAGUAAUAAAUAAACUCAUUUUUUAGAGAGAUUAUGUUUGGUGAAAAUAAUCAAUGAGUAUUUAUGAAUUCACCUUCCAAGUCUUGUAGUAAAAUUACAAGCGUUAAUCGCGUUAAGAUAUCAAGUGUAUAGAUAACUAUAAAUUAAGGUGGUACCGCGAACUAUUCGUCCUUAAA
rnacentral:ncRNA from 1 species